GCGACCCCAGGUCAGGCGGGAUCACCCGCUGAGUUUAAGCAUAUCAAUAAGCGGAGGAGAAGAAACUUACAAGGAUUCCCUUAGUAACGGCGAGCGAACCGGGAAUAGCCCAACUUGAGAA
rnacentral:rRNA from 2 species